rfam:Triticum aestivum genome assembly, contig: Triticum_aestivum_CS42_TGACv1_scaffold_405906_5BL
UUAAUACUCCCUCCGUUCGAAAAUACUCGUUGGAGAAAUGGAUAAAAAUGGAUACAUCUAAAACUAAAAUACGUCUACAUACAUUCAUUUCUCCGACAAAUAUUUCCGGACGGAGGGAGUACUUU